rnacentral:rRNA from 1 species
GAGUUUGAUCAUGGCUCAGAUUGAACGCUGGCGGCAUGCCUUACACAUGCAAGUCGAACGGCAGCAUGAUCUAGCUUGCUAGAUUGAUGGCGAGUGGCGAACGGGUGAGUAAUACAUCGGAACGUGCCCUGUAGUGGGGGAUAACUAGUCGAAAGAUUAGCUAAUACCGCAUACGACCUGAGGGUGAAAGUGGGGGACCGCAAGGCCUCAUGCUAUAGGAGCGGCCGAUGUCUGAUUAGCUAGUUGGUGGGGUAAAGGCCCACCAAGGCGACGAUCAGUAGCUGGUCUGAGAGGACGAUCAGCCACACUGGGACUGAGACACGGCCCAGACUCCUACGGGAGGCAGCAGUGGGGAAUUUUGGACAAUGGGGGCAACCCUGAUCCAGCAAUGCCGCGUGUGUGAAGAAGGCCUUCGGGUUGUAAAGCACUUUUGUCCGGAAAGAAAUCGCACUUACUAAUAUUAGGUGUGGAUGACGGUACCGGAAGAAUAAGGACCGGCUAACUACGUGCCAGCAGCCGCGGUAAUACGUAGGGUCCAAGCGUUAAUCGGAAUUACUGGGCGUAAAGCGUGCGCAGGCGGUUGUGCAAGACCGAUGUGAAAUCCCCGGGCUUAACCUGGGAAUUGCAUUGGUGACUGCACGGCUAGAGUGUGUCAGAGGGGGGUAGAAUUCCACGUGUAGCAGUGAAAUGCGUAGAGAUGUGGAGGAAUACCGAUGGCGAAGGCAGCCCCCUGGGAUAACACUGACGCUCAUGCACGAAAGCGUGGGGAGCAAACAGGAUUAGAUACCCUGGUAGUCCACGCCCUAAACGAUGUCAACUAGUUGUUGGGGAUUCAUUUCCUUAGUAACGUAGCUAACGCGUGAAGUUGACCGCCUGGGGAGUACGGUCGCAAGAUUAAAACUCAAAGGAAUUGACGGGGACCCGCACAAGCGGUGGAUGAUGUGGAUUAAUUCGAUGCAACGCGAAAAACCUUACCUACCCUUGACAUGCCACUAACGAAGCAGAGAUGCAUUAGGUGCUCGAAAGAGAAAGUGGACACAGGUGCUGCAUGGCUGUCGUCAGCUCGUGUCGUGAGAUGUUGGGUUAAGUCCCGCAACGAGCGCAACCCUUGUCUCUAGUUGCUACGAAAGGGCACUCUAGAGAGACUGCCGGUGACAAACCGGAGGAAGGUGGGGAUGACGUCAAGUCCUCAUGGCCCUUAUGGGUAGGGCUUCACACGUCAUACAAUGGUGCAUACAGAGGGUUGCCAAGCCGCGAGGUGGAGCUAAUCCCAGAAAAUGCAUCGUAGUCCGGAUCGUAGUCUGCGACUCGACUACGUGAAGCUGGAAUCGCUAGUAAUCGCGGAUCAGCAUGCCGCGGUGAAUACGU